UCUGAACUCGGCAAAUUGACACCGUAACUUCGGAAGAAGGUGUGCCUUUGGUAGGUGUAGGGACUUGCUCCCGAAGCCGAAGGAGGCCGCAGAGAAUCGGUGGCUGCGACUGUUUAUCAAAAACACAGCACUCUGCUAAGACGUUGGAAGUCGACGUAUAGGGUGUGACGCCUGCCCGGUGCCGGAAGGUUAAGUGAUGGGGUGCAAGCUCUUGAUCGAAGCCCCGGUAAACGGCGGCCGUAACGAUAACGGUCCUAAGGUAGCGAAAUUCCUUGUCGGGUAAGUUCCGACCCGCACGAAUGGCGUAACGAUGGCCACACUGUCUCCUCCUGAGACUCAGCGAAGUUGAAAUGUUUGUGAAGAUGCAAUCUACCCGCGGCUAGACGGAAAGACCCCAUGAACCUUUACUGUAGCUUUGCAUUGGACUGUGACGCUGUCUGUGUAGGAUAGCUGGGAGGCUUUGAAGCGGUGCCGCUAGGUGCCGUGGAGCCAACGUUGAAAUACCAGCCUGACGACGUUGCGGUUCUAACCUGGGCCCCUUGACGGGGUCGGGGACCGUGCAUGGUAGGCAGUUUGACUGGGGCGGUCUCCUCCCAAUGGUAACGGAGGAGUGCGAAGGUCACCUAGGUACGGUCGGAAAUCGUACUCAUAGUGCAAUGGCAUAAGGUGGCUUGACUGCGAGACCGACAAGUCGAGCAGGUGCGAAAGCAGGUCAUAGUGAUCCGGUGAUUCUGAAUGGAAGGGUCAUCGCUCAACGGAUAAAAGGUACUCUGUGAUAACAGGCUGAUUCCUCCCAAGAGUUCAUAUCGACUGGGAGUUUGGCACCUCGAUGUCGGCUCAUCACAUCCUGGGGCUGUAGCCGGUCCCAAGGGUAUGGCUGUUCGCCAUUUAAAGUGGUACAUGAGCUGGGUUCAAAACGUCGUGAGGCAGUUUGGUCCCUAUCUGCCGUGGGCGCUGGAGAUUUGACGGGGGCUGCUCCUAGUACGAGAGGACCGGAGUGGACGUAUCCCUGGUGUACCGGUUGUCACGCCAGUGGCAUUGCCGGGUAGCUAUAUACGGAAGAGAUAACCGCUGAAAGCAUCUAAGCGGGAAACUCGCCUGAAGAUGAGAUCUCCCGGAGCUUCGAGCUCCCUGAAGGGUCGUGGUAGACCACCACGUUGAUAGGCCGGGUGUGCACGAGCAGUAAUGCUCUGAGCUGACCGGUACUAAUUGCCCGUGCGGCUUGACCC
rnacentral:rRNA from 1 species